ACGAACGCUGGCGGCGUGCUUAACACAUGCAAGUCGAGGGCAUUUCCGGGGCAACCUGGGAGUGACCGGCGAACGGGUGCGUAACACGUGAGCGACCUUGCCUCGUGGUGGGGGAUAGCCGGCCCAACGGCCGGGUAAUACCGCAUAUGGUGCUUUCCUCGCAUGGGGAGAGUAGCAAAGCCCUGGAGCAAUCCAGUGGCGCCACAGGGGGGCGUC
rnacentral:rRNA from 1 species